GAGACUUGGGUGGUGGGAGAUUCGGCGGUCGGUGUUCCAUGGUCGCCGGAUACGAAGGUCGGUUUUGGGGUUUUCGGUUGGCUGCCGGAGACGGUGAAAGCAGGUGGGUCGGUCGGUGAAUUCUUGGUGGUGGGUUUUUGAUUCAGGCGAUCAAAUAAGGUGGGUCGCUGAAUUCUUGGUGGGUUUUUGAUUCAGGCGAUCAAGGUGGGUUUCGGGUUAUGAAAUUUUCAAAAGUUUCGUUUAAAAUUCCUAUGGAUUCGGGGGCUUAUUCAUGGUGGUUAGACUUGGAUGCCAACCUCUAUUUCACAACAUGCAGGAUUACGGAUACUACCUUUAUCGAGAGAGAACAGUGGACCAGAGUUGAGGUUAGGUUGGAGGCUCUGUAUGAUUUUAGAACCUGCGAUAUUGGUCUCUCAGAAUGGCAUGCUUUACUGGAAAGCGGUGAGUGCAGAACGUGCUUACAUUAUUACAUAUGAUUUACAGACUGAACUAGUUGGCCGCUUGGUAGCCCCUGGAGAAGAUCAUCUUAAUAAUGUGGAGUUAGUGCUGGGCCAUGGGUUCAAAGGUCAACUAGCUGCGUCAGUAUAUGUACCUCCUGCACAUCAAGAAGGACAUUCUUAUUUGCACAUUUGGGUCCUCCUGAAAGAACUUGCCAUGUACCAUUGGCACAAGCUAGUGGCUUUACCUUGCCAUGAUUACACUAGUGAUGGUGAAGUGUUUGUGACAGAGAAGUGGUCGUGCACAGGAACAAGGAGGAAGUCGUGCAUAUGAUACCAGCCAAGAAGCGGGUUAAUCCAUUAGCUGAUGCUGAGUUCCGGAGAGUACCUGUACCCUCAGCCAUACACCUUCAGGCAUGAAAAUGCAGCUUGGAUCCCGUAGGAUGUUUCAAGCAACUCCACUUGUGAAGCCUAUGGGAAACAGGGCACUUGCAGAGGACAAUAACACAGAUGAUGAUGAUGAUGAAGGAUGAACUGUAAAGCAGAUGUUAGAGACUUAGAGCAGAGUUUUGUAGGAAGCUAAAUGUUACAUGAAGGUACUGCUGAAUGUAGAGUUGGUUGUACAAUCUGCUAAAAACUACACCAUUGAUUGAAGAAGAGUAGAGGGGGAGUGCAGUAGUGAUCCAUUUCAGCUGCCACUGUGAUGUAGUGGAGCAAUUUUUCCUGAUGGAGCCAACUGAAGCUUCAUUUUAGCCUACGAUUUCAAACUUAUUUUUUUCUCAAAUCAUUUUGGUAUCUCUUUUUGGCUUUUAUAUCAUUGGAAAACUAGGUACAUCUAUUUUGCAGAAACCUUAUAUCUGCACAUCAUAGCAACCUUAAUAGAUAAACAAUUCUCAUGAAGGAUAUUUUCUUUACAUUGAAGCUAUUCUUUGAUCAAAUUUGAUGUAUGUAAAUAAAUGCUGGUAUAAUGAUUACUGUUAUGUGUUCGGUUCU